AUUGAACGCUGGCGGCAUGCUUUACACAUGCAAGUCGAACGGUAACAGGGUGCUUGCGCCGCUGACGAGUGGCGAACGGGUGAGUAAUGCAUCGGAAUGUACCGUGUAAUGGGGGAUAGCUCGGCGAAAGCCGGAUUAAUACCGCAUACGCCCUGAGGGGGAAAGUGGGGGACCGAAAGGCCUCACGUUAUACGAGCAGCCGAUGUCUGAUUAGCUAGUUGGUGAGGUAAAGGCUCACCAAGGCGUCGAUCAGUAGCGGGUCUGAGAGGAUGAUCCGCCACACUGGGACUGAGACACGGCCCAGACUCCUACGGGAGGCAGCAGUGGGGAAUUUUGGACAAUGGGCGCAAGCCUGAUCCAGCCAUGCCGCGUGUCUGAAGAAGGCCUUCGGGUUGUAAAGGACUUUUGUCCGGGAGCAAAUCCUAGUGGUUAAUAACCGCUGGGUCUGAGAGUACCGGAAGAAUAAGCACCGGCUAACUACGUG
rnacentral:rRNA from 1 species